rnacentral:misc_RNA from 1 species
GGUUCGAUUCUGGCUCAGAUUGAACGCUGGCGGGAUGCUUUAGCACAUGCAAGUCGAACGGCAGCACGGACUUCGGUCUGGUGGCGAGUGGCGAACGGGUGAGUAAUGUAUCGGAACGUGCCUAGUAGCAGGGGAUAACUACGCGAAAGCGUAGCUAAUACCAACAUGCGCCCUUGGGGGAAAGCGGGGGACCUUCGGGCCUCGCACUAUUAGAGCGGCCGAUAUCGGAUUAGCUAGUUGGUGG